rnacentral:lncRNA from 1 species
UGGAGUUUUCCCAAAAAAAAAAAAAAAACCCGGGAAAAAACGAUCCAGGGAAAAGAUUUUUUUUUAUUAAUUUAAAAGGAUGAAAAAGGAGAGAAAAUUCCAUGAAAAUUUUGGGAAUUUUGGGGAAAAAAAAAUUUAAUUUUUAUUUUUUUUUUUUUCUGGGAAUUUUUAGGGAAUGAGAAGGAAAAAAAAAAUUGGGAAAAUGUCCCCAAAAUGAGGGAAAAAUCCUGGAAUUUUUAAGGGAAAAUCCUGGAAUUUUUAAGGGAAAAUCCUGGAAUUUUUAAGGGAAAAUCUGGAAAUUUUAAGUGAAAUUUCCUCGAAUUUUUAAGGGAAAAUCUGGAAAUUUUAAGGGAAAAAUCCUGUAAUUUUUAAGGAAAAUCCUGAAAUUUUUAAGUGAAAAUUCCUGGAAUUUUUAAGGAAAAAAUCCUGGAAUUUUUAAGGGAAAAUCCUGGAAUUUUUAAAGGGAAAAUUCCUGAAAUUUUUAAGGGAAAAUCCUGGAAUUUUUAAAGGGAAAAUCCUGGAAUUUUAAAGUGAAAAUUCCUGGAAUUUUUAAGGAAAAAUCUGGAAUUUUUAAGGGAAAAUUCCUCGAAUUUUUAAGGAAAAUCCUGGAUUUUUUAAGGGAAAAUCCUGGAAUUUUUAAGGGAAAAUUCCUCGAAUUUUUAAGGGAAAAUCCUGGAUUUUUUAAGGGAAAUUCCUGAAAUUUUUAAGGGAAAAUUCCUCGAAUUUUUAAGGAAAAAUCCUGGAAUUUUUAAGGGAAAAUUCCUGGAAUUUUUAAGGAAAAUUCCUGAAAUUUUCAAGAGAAAAAUUCCUGGAAUUUUUAAGUGAAAAAUCCUGGAAUUUUUAAGGAAAAUCCCUGAAAUUUGAGAUUCUCAAAAUUAAGGAAAAAUCCCCCUAAAAAAAGAUCCCAAAAUUAAAGGAAAAUUCCCCAAAAAAAUCCGGGAAAAUUCCCACAAAUUUGGGAGAAUUCGCCCCAAAAAUUCGGGAAAUUGAUCCCAAAAUUCGGGAAAAUCCCAAAUUCAGGCGGAAAAAUCCGAUUUUGGGGGUUUUGACCACCAAAAAAUGGGAUUUUGGGGAUUUUUGGGGAAUUUUUGGGUGGAUUUUGGGGUUUUUUGGGUGGAUUUUGGGAAUUUUUGGGGAUUUUUGGGGAAUUUUUGGGGGUUUUUUUGGAAUUUUUGGGGGUUUUUUUUGUGAAUUUUGGUUUUUUUGGGAAUUUUUGGGAAUUUUUUGGGUGGAUUUUGGGAAUUUUUUGGGAAUUUUUUUGAGUUUUUUGUGA